AAGUUAGGAAAGCAUGGCGCAGACUGCUUCUCCUCAGACCUUUCAAUUCCUUCAAGCCCUGCUGACUUCUUUUGCCUGUGUCUCAGUCACUGUAUUUUCAGCCUUAUAUUUUUAUGUGAUUUUUCUUUUUUCCCUAAGCCCUGGCUCCCUUCUUCGAUUACCAACUUCAGAAACAAGCUCACACAAUUGGAAGAGGAGUCUGGAGAUUCAUCUCCUCUGGACUGUAAAGAUGACAAAUCUCUCUCAACUCUUUGGUUAGAAAAUACAAUUAAGUGGACUGGAGUGGGCUCUCACCAAAGAAAAUUGGCUGGAUUGAGAUGUCUGAGGGUCGCACGGCUGACUCCAGGAAAAACAAAAAACACAAACAAAAAAACACCCAGAUCAGACAAGCGGGUAACGGAGCCAGAGGACCAUGCCUUCAGAGGGACAGACCAAUGGCUCCUCAGAUGGAGUCCCCAGAGUCCAGCUUGUCCAGCCACCUGCUUCCAGAAAGGACAGACUCACAGAGGUCCCGACAGCUGUGAAUUUAAAGUGUGUUUACGGUUUUCACAGGAAGAGGGCUGCCCCUUGGUGCUGAUUCAGAAACUUCUUGAUACAAUAACUACUGUUAACCAUCACCAAGCACUUUCAGUGUGCGGAGUCGUGUGUUACGCUCUAUUACAGAUAUGACUUCAUGUAAACAUCUCCACGCACGUGGUAGGUACAUUGUUAUCACUAUCAUAGAUGAAGAAAGCAAGGUUUAGAGAGGGUAAGUACACCAUUCAAGGUUACCAACCUGGUGAGUGGUGAAGCGGAAUUUGAGAACAGUUCUUUUGACACCAUCCAUUUAUCCACAUUACACUGAAAUUUGGAGAUGAAAACCUGAUCCCAUUUUGUACUCCUUGUGAAGACUUUUUUUUCCUAAAUCUAUCUUUUCUCUUCUAUUCCUCUCAUCCGAUCAUUCCAGAAAUCUAGGUGGUUUUUUGUUUGCUUUUUUGUCCAAAAAUAAUAUAUUUUACCUGGUUUAAGAUUAUUUUAACUGUGACAAGUAAUUAUUUCCUAAACAGAAUCUCUCUCUUAAAAGUUGCUACACACCAUCCCCAAACCCAGGGAAAACCAACUGAACUAACUGGAGGCUUUGAACCGAAAUUUCGCUACGGUAAACAAGAGCAUGAGUCCAUAAUCCAGGGUCUCUUUCCUCUCUUUUAUACCAUCCCCAAUGCAAGGGGAGGUAGGAAUUCAGCACCCAGUGAGUCAGGAGCCUUCUCCUCCCCCCGCCUAACUGCCCGUGAGCCCAUCACCCAUCCACAGGGACAUCCCUGCCGCUAUCAUCAAUUACUAUUUCUCAGGCACCCACUGGGUGCUCAGCACAUCAGAGAAGAAACGAAUUGACUCUGCUAUCAACAAUCACCCUGCAAAAAGCCAAAUAAUUUUGAUGUUCUUCAAACAUAUUAUAAUUAAAAAAUUACAUGCUGGGAGAAAAAUUAUAAGCAUUUAAUCAGAAGAGAGGGUCAAGCUGAUGCAAUUAGGGAGGGAGAUGUGCUGGCUUUUAUCAACAGAGCCAGUUUCAUCACUAUCCUGGUGAAAGCAAUUGGAUUUGAGGCUCAGAUGUUUCCAUCAAGUUACUUUGGAAUCAAGAAAAUAUAAUUUCAUUCUGUUUGUUCAGGAGUGUCUUUAACCUCACUGCUACUCUCUGAGGUCGCUCUCCUCUUGCAAUCCAUUUACGCGGGCACAGCUUGCUUCUCACUGUGGAUCUCAGGCCAAUUGUGGCCUAAUACGUAAAUGCAUUUAAAAAACCGUUAGCCCCGGUGAAAAAAUUACAAAUGCAGGAUAAGAGAAAGCUCCCAGAUAGUAAUCCCUGAAGUAUUUGCCAGAAAGGAAAUCUGUUGGUAAGCUGAAGUGCUUUUAAGAGAGUUGAAUCAUUCGAUGAAUCAGAAAAUUGCCCAGGUCUUGGAGCCAUGACUGAGAGUCCAUGGAAAGGCAAAAAGAAAACAAAAGAAGCAAAUGUGAAUUUUCUUACUGCCCCAUUUAACAGAUCUCAGUGCUUGCUGUAUAGCAACUAGUUUGACAGGUCACAGGUGUUCAGAGAGGUGUCCUACUUCUUUCUCUCUAGCUCAAGCCAAACACCUCUUCCAUGAGUCCCUGGGAUGGAGAAAAACUUAGCUUGAUGCUCUCCUUGGUGAAGGAAGCCCAGCUCCUCCACCCAGAAACAGGAAAGCUGGAAGGGGCUGGGAGGAUUACAUUUUUAUCACCCAUGCCCUGACAUGAAGGGGUGCCAUAGGGCCCUUUAUCAGUGCUAGUUUAGGCAGCAUGGUGGGGAGCAAAAAGCCCUGGAAUGGGAAUUAGGAGACUUCAGUUCUGAUCAUCAAGAAUUGUCUCCAUCCCAGGGCUGGUCCCAUGGCCUAGUGGUUAAGUUUGGCGUGCUCCACUUUGGCAGCCAGGGUUUGUGGGUUCAGAUCCUGGGUGUGGACCUACACCACUCCUCAGCUGUACUGUGGUGGUGACCCACAUACAAAAUAGAGGAGACUUGAACAGAUGUUAGCUCAGGGACAAUCUUCCUCAAGCAAAAAAAGAAGAAGAUUGACAACAGAUAUUGUUGGCUCAGGGCUGAACUUCAUCAGCAAAAAAAAAAAAAAAAAGAAAAAAAAAGUCCACAUUCCCUAGAAUUUGGCAAUAUAUUACAUAAAAUAGUAAUGCUUUAGCAGUGACAAUCCUGAUUGCUUCUGAUUUUAUAAUGCUUCAUGACUUCAAAAACUCAUCUAUACUGUCUUAUUUAAGCCUUAUCAAAACUGUGUGAGGUAGUUAGGCAUGUACCAUUAUAUAUACUUGUUCUAACCUAGAAGAUAGGAAAGUGGUAGGUGUUAUUUAUCUCUAUGUAAGAGUGGUGGCAGGGGAGAGGCUUGGGGUAAGAAGUGAUGUGUUCACAGUCAUAGGAAUACAUACGAAGAGCUCAAACACAAAAUAAGACCCAACAGCUCUUUUCAAAAUCUUGAUGUAUUUUCAGAGGAUGAUGGCUACCCUAAAUUACCCUUGUGAGACUCAAAUGAAGCAAUGCUUUUGAAAAUGCAUUGAGGAAUGUAAACUCACUGUCUAGUUUUAAAUUUCCACAGUCCCUGAUGGGUAUGCGAAUGUUCUAUUUCCUAUAUAACUGUGUUCAUGAGGAACCAGUGGCAUAAAUUCCUAGCUCCACGAGGCAUCCUGUUCUCUUUUCUGAAACCAAAUACUAAGGACAAGGCCUCAUCCAAAGAUGAAUGCAGAGAGAAGAAAUACAAUAAAAAUGACAAAUUGAUAUUGGGCA
rnacentral:lncRNA from 1 species